rnacentral:rRNA from 1 species
ACGCUGGCGGCGUGCUAACACAUGCAAGUCGAACGAUUCUUUGAUUUAUAGCAAUAUUUAUUAAAGAGGAGUGGCGAACGGGUGAGUAACACGUAGAUAAUCUGCCUUUCAGACGGGGACAACUCAGGGAAACUUGUGCUAAUACCCGAUGAGACCACAAGAAGGGAUUUUUGUGGCCAAAGGGCGGGCAGCAAUGCUCGUGCUGAAAGAUGAGUCUGCGUCCUAUCAGCUAGUUGGUGGGGUAAAUGCCUACCAAGGCUAAGACGGGUAGCCGGCCUGAGAGGGUGAACGGCCACACUGGGACUGAGACACGGCCCAGACUCCUACGGGAGGCAGCAGUGAGGAAUUUUCCGCAAUGGGCGCAAGCCUGACGGAGCGACGCCGCGUGAGGGAUGACAGCUUUCGGGUUGUAAACCUCUUUUAUUAAGGAAAAAGAUCUAUAUGCUAAUAUCAUGUAGAUUUGAUGGUACUUAUUGAAUAAGCCCCGGCUAACUACGUG